rnacentral:rRNA from 1 species
AUUGAACGCUGGCGGCAGGCUUAACACAUGCAAGUCGAACGAGUGGCGGACGGGUGAGUAAUUCUUGGGAAUCUGGCUUAUGGAGGGGGAUAACGACGGGAAACUGUCGCUAAUACCGCGUACCAUAGGAUGAGCCCAAGUCGGAUUAGGUAGUUGGUGAGGUAAAGGCUCACCAAGCCGACGAUCCCUAGCUGGUCUGAGAGGAUGACCCGCAACACGGGGUCUGGUACACGGCCCCGACUCCUACGGGAGGCAGCAGUGGGGAAUAUUUCGCAAUGGGGGCAACCUGACGCCUCAAUGCCGCGUGAAUGAAGAAGGCCUUCGGGUUGUAAAGUUCUUUCGGUAGCGAGGCGUUAACUACAGAAGAAGCACCGGCUAACUCCGUGCCAGCCGCCGCGGUAAUAC